UGAGGAAUAUUGGUCAAUGGGCGAGAGCCUGAACCAGCCAAGUAGCGUGCAGGAUGACGGCCCUAUGGGUUGUAAACUGCUUUUAUGUGGGGAUAAAGUGCGUGACGUGUCAUGCAUUGCAGGUACCACAUGAAUAAGGACCGGCUAAUUCCGUGCCAGCAGCCGCGGUAAUACGGAAGGUCCGGGCGUUAUCCGGAUUUAUUGGGUUUAAAGGGAGCGUAGGCUGUCUAUUAAGCGUGUUGUGAAAUUUACCGGCUCAACCGGUGGCUUGCAGCGCGAACUGGUCGACUUGAGUAUGCAGGAAGUAGGCGGAAUUCAUGGUGUAGCGGUGAAAUGCUUAGAUAUCAUGACGAACUCCGAUUGCGCAGGCAGCUUACUGUAGCAUAACUGACGAUGAUGCUCGAAAGUGCGGGUAUCAAACAGG
rnacentral:rRNA from 1 species